UACGUAGGUGACAAGCGUUGUCCGGAUUUACUGGGCGUAAAGAGCGCGCAGGCGGUCGAUCAAGUCGAGUGUGAAAGCCCCCGGCUCAACUGGGGAGGGUCAUUCGAUACUGAUCGACUCGAAGGCAGGAGAGGGUAGUGGAAUUCCCGGUGUAGUGGUGAAAUGCGUAGAUAUCGGGAGGAACACCAGUGGCGAAGGCGACUACCUGGCCUGUUCUUGACGCCUGAGGCGCGAAAGCUAGGGGAGCAAACGGG
rnacentral:rRNA from 1 species